rnacentral:rRNA from 1 species
UUGUCUCAAAGAUUAAGCCAUGCAUGUCUCAGUACAAGCCAAAUUAAGGUGAAACCGCAAAAGGCUCAUUAAAUCAGUUAUGGUUCCUUAGAUCGUACUCACAUUUACUUGGAUAACUGUGGUAAUUCUAGAGCUAAUACAUGCAAACAGAGCUCUGACCGGAAACGGAAGGAGCGCUUUUAUUAGAUCAAAACCAAUCGGUGUUGGGCUCACGCUCUUCAUCGUACAAUUUGGUGAAUCUGAAUAACUUUAUGCUGAUCGCACGGUCUUGCACCGGCGACGUAUCUUUCAAAUGUCUGCCUUAUCAACUGUCGAUGGUAGGUUCUGCGCCUACCAUGGUUGUAACGGGUAACGGGGAAUCAGGGUUCGAUUCCGGAGAGGGAGCCUGAGAAACGGCUACCACAUCCAAGGAAGGCAGCAGGCGCGCAAAUUACCCACUCCCGGCACGGGGAGGUAGUGACGAAAAAUAACGAUACGGGACUCAUCCGAGGCCCCGUAAUCGGAAUGAGUACACUCUAAAUCCUUUAACGAGGAUCAAUUGGAGGGCAAGUCUGGUGCCAGCAGCCGCGGUAAUUCCAGCUCCAAUAGCGUAUAUUAAAGUUGUUGCGGUUAAAAAGCUCGUAGUCGAAUUUGUGUUCCGCGCCGCCGGUUCAUCGUUCGCGGUGUUAACUGGCGUGUCGCGGAACGUCCUGCCGGUGGGCUUAGCUUGUAACAGAGCGGCCCAACUCAAUCCCGCCGCGGUGCUCUUCAUUGAGUGUCGAGGUGGGCCGGCACGUUUACUUUGAACAAAUUAGAGUGCUUAAAGCAGGCUAAAAUUUUGCCUGAAUACUGUGUGCAUGGAAUAAUGGAAUAGGACCUCGGUUCUAUUUUGUUGGUUUUCGGAACCCCGAGGUAAUGAUUAAUAGGAACGGAUGGGGGCAUUCGUAUUGCGACGUUAGAGGUGAAAUUCUUGGAUCGUCGCAAGACGG